rnacentral:misc_RNA from 1 species
GUGAAUCAUCGAAUCUUUGAACGCAAAUUGCACUCUCUGGCAUUCCGGAGAGCAUGCCUGUUUGAGGGUCAGUUUAAAUAUAAAUCGUGGUGUUGCGGUUGUUUAAUCCGGCGGAAUUGGGUUAUCUUUGACCUUGUAAAAAGUUUAAGUGACCUAAAAUUUAUACCUUGUGCAUAUCAGACGUUCAUAAGAAUAUUUUUUUAUCCGUCCGGAGUUGCCAACUUUUUAUUAGGUAUGACCAUGCUGUUUGUGGCAUUGUAUCUACAAUAUACUCAUAUUUUGACCUGAAAUCAGGUAG